ACUCAAACCAGCUGUAUUAAGGAAGGUGCAAGCUUUUGGGAUUUCUGUUUGGAUUUAGUUUAGGUUCAAAAGAGCACGCACAGAUCCUGAGUGUUGUCAAGCACCCGUGACUGGGAAACGGAGGCGUCCGAUCCGUAUUGGAGUCAAUUCGCCACUUAAUUGAAAAACCCUUUGAAAAGAUUCAGCACGUUGCCAUGGAGAACAUCCCACUGAAGGAAUGUAUAGAAGUAGCAGGUAAAGAAUCCUGGAAUAAGAGAAAUAUUUGAAAAAGCUUGUGGAGCCCUGUUAGUCCCAAGAAGAUGAAACGUUUUCAAGGAGGGAGCUCACAAAGACACUUGCAUCACAUUAUCUCUCCUCAGGGUUAACUGAGUGCCUUCCAUCUUCCCUCCAAGGGAUCUGCAAUGAGAUGGGAGAAGGCAACAGGCUGUGUGGGAACCACUGAAGCUGGGAUGGCAGGGAAAGAACAUCUUAGGCUAACUCUUCAAGCCUUGCUGUCACAUUUGCUUUUGAGUCUAUGGUGUCAGCUGCCUACCAGUUGCUUUCAUCUCUAGAAAUCUGUGACUUGCAGUAUGACAAGAACAAAAGGUGACAAUACAAAGGACAAAGGGCAAGGAAUACAGACGGAGAAGCCGCUUAGAGUCUAGGAUGGCAGAGGUUCUCUUGAUCAUUUCAUUUUUGAGCGCUUGUAGAGCUUUGGUGUACCAGAGGUGCUUGAACAGCUUACCACACCACAGAUGAAUGGCCUUUGGAUUUCUCCUAAGAAAAUGUGGCUACCUGAAAUUCAACUCCAUUUUCUGGUCUUCAAUAUUUCUUUUGUGUUCAGUUUGCCAGCUGAGGAGAAGUGGCUAAGCAUAGCCUGUUACUGAUGCUAAAGCCCAAGUUCUGAACCUAACAACUCCAGCAACAUGAUCCUGUUUCAAGAGACAAAAAAGUGACUAAUGAAAGAAAACAAUUGAUGUGCUAUGUAGAGUUUAAAAGAAGGUAAAGAGAAUAAAUUAAAAGCAACAACU
rnacentral:lncRNA from 1 species